GAAAAUUAUAUAAACAAGCACAGAAAAUGGAGGAAAAAAAAGGAGAAAAUUCUACUGGCGGCUAGAGAAAAACAGAGACAUCGAUACACGCAGAAGCUGACGGAAAACCAAAAAGAAAAAGGAACAAGGUAGCAGGCAGAGAAAAAUUGCUAAAAUUAAUCAGGUUCCGUUGAUUUUUGGUGAUAUCUUUUCACGUUUAUAUGUUUAAUUUCAACAUUAUACAUUUAUCAUGAACCUUUUAAAUAAUUUAGAACAAAAUAAUUUAGCGUACAUUUAUCAUGAACCUUUUAAAUAAUUUAGAACAAAAUAAUUUAGCGUAACACGAUAUAGGAAUUAAACAAAUAAAUGUGGAAAAAUAUCACCAAAAAUUGACGGAACGUGAUUAAUUUUUGUAAUUUUUCUCUGCCUGCUGCCUUGUUCCUUUUUAUCUAUAUCUCUGUUUUUUUCCAGCCGCUAGUAGAAUUUCCUUCUUUUCAUUUUCUACUUUUUCUCCUAGGUGAGUAUGUGUGUGGUACUGAAUAUUUCAAGUAGAAAUAUAAAAUGAUAAUGCUGUCUUCUUGAAGGAAUUUAAUCCCGAACUGAACAUUCCAAUCUACACUGCUAGGCCGAAAGCUCUUAAACAUGUUACCCGCACCUAAUACCAUUGUGCAAUAUAGAACUUUCUACAUAAACUUGCCUAAAUUAUUUGCAUUUAUCUACUUUUUUCGUUACUGAGUAAUAAUAUCAUUUUCCAUUUUUUGCAGGGACUGUGGUUGAUUCUAAAAUCUGUCAUCCUACAGAGUUUGAUUUUUAUCUCUGGUAUUCAGGUAAAACACCAGUACUUCUACGUGUAAUGCAGAAUAGCAGUGGCAAGUUUCUUUGUGACUAGCAAUAUAACGUAAGACAUCUUUUCUAGCAUAGAAAAAAAUGUAAUUCGGUAUUCAAUAUGUUAAUCUCGACUGCUAGAAAGGCAUAUUCUAGUACUUGUCAAAACGUUGUCUUAGAUUCCCGUUUGGCAUGGCUUUUGCUUUUACUUUUUGUAUAAGAAUUUUUGGAGAAAACUACCAAAAUUUUUGUUUGAAACUAAUUUUUAAACGUGCUUAUUCCAGAGAUACUUUUAGGGGAAGCCAUAUUUGACCGGUUUCCUUUAAAAGCUCUUCUAACUUGAAGAACCAUCUUCAUGAAAUUAGCCAAACAGAUCCAAAAGCAAUUUUCGGAUGUCAAAAGCCCUUUUAGCUUUUCAAAAAGCCAUGUCAAAUGGGCUGUUAGUCACCCCAAGUAGCUUGUGCAAUUCAUUAUCAUAUAAAACUUUAAUUGAACUCAUUGACAAGGUCAAUUUCAAUUUCACAAUUUUAACCCACUGGUGCAUUUACAUGUUUUAAAAAACAAAGAUCAUCAGUGUCACCAUUUAUUCCAAUCUCGUCCCAUUAGUUCGAGUCAAUAUUUUUGGUCACCGUGCUUUUAUAACAUGCGUCUUGGAUUCUGGAAGUUGUGGACUUUGUACACACUUCUUUGACAUUCAGGAAACUAGUAGGCCAAGGCAUUACCAUGCCCUUUUGGAUGAAAAUAAUUUUUCGGCAGGUGGAAUUCAGUUGUUGACGAAUAAUCUCUGCUAUACAUAUGCAAGAUGCACGCGUUCUGUCUCUGUGGGUAAGUGAAGACAUUUUCCUCACACUGUCUUUUAAUCGACAUAUCUGUACUGCUGUCUAUCCAUUGAGAGCCAGUGGAAGAAAUCAUAAUAAUUUUAACCUUGAAAGUGUGCCUUUUCAAGAUGAUCUUUUUUUCUUGAAGAUGUUAAUCUUGUAUUUAUUUCCCUCAUCUAAGAAACUCAAUCAAUAGAUUACUCAAAUACCGAAUGGUAAUCAAAUUAUAUUGUUCCUUGAGUGGCAUUUCAUUCAGACAAUGAGGUCAAGAAAGGUGUGCCAGACUAACCUAGCAAAUUUUUUGUGAUUAAUGCUAUAAACUAACAUAAUUGUUGAUCAGAAUAUGGUGGAGAAAGGGUUGUUUGUAAUGAAUCAAUGAAGUAGAAAGAUUUAAUUCGCAAGAGCGUAAUUAAACACAACAAAUUUUGAAGAGUGUGUAAACCAACAAGAAAACAAGAAAAGGAGAAGAAAUAGAUCUGAGACAAGUGACAAUCACUAUUUCCUUAAGACAAUAUUGUCCCAUAUGGUGCCAACGGUAUAUGGCACUUGUGUCCCAAGAUACAACGGAUUCAACUUAUGGUAAAAGUACUUUAAACCCCAAGUUUCAGUGAACUUAGAAUGGAGCCUUCUCUCUACAAGAAGAAAUGAGUUUGGAAUGAUUUGGAAGAGUUUUUGCAAGAUAUUUUAUGCAAUGCUUAAUGCAAAAAAUGAUAUGGGAUGCAUUAUGGAUGUCCAAAGGAUCCUAUUUAUAGACGAUGAGAGAGCGUGGGUGAAGUGAUGCGCACCAAAUCUCGCAACUUUCUGAAAGAAAGCAUUACCUAUUGUCGUUAGCCUAUCACUGGCCUCUCGUUCAAGCGUCAGUGUCAAAAUUUUAACAUAACUUUUUCGCUAAGAUGUUACUCGAGCGAUCCUGGCAUUGGAACGAUAGGAGAACGACGGAGUUUGGCAAAAUCCAUGGAAGUUUUCCUUCUUUUUUUUUCAAGUUUGGAUCGCAAUUUUUCAUUCAUCCGGAAUAGAUUUUGAGAUUCCAAAAAUACCGUAAUGAUCUACUUGACGAGUAGAAUAAGUUAGCCUAUUUACAUAUAUAAUUUGACUAUUAAAUCAAAUCCGAAUAUUUGGCUGAAAUUGACACGAAACUCACUUUUUCACAUUUAUACUUAACCAAAUUUUCUUAAUUUUACACCAAUUUUCAAUAAUCCCCACAUAAAAGGAAAUUCGAAUAUGUACAUGCAAUGCGAAAAAUUUAUGAUACCUUGUAGAGGGAGAGAGUGGAAUGAGAUGAUGAUAAUAAUAAGUAACUUAACUCUUAAAAUCUUCAACCAAUUUUUUUAGUAAUCCAUAUCAUUAUAGCUACAAUCCAUGAUAAUUAUCUCCUUGAGUCCAAAACCUAGUCCAGAAGCUUCUUGUAUAUAUUUUGUGUGCAUAUAUAAAUAUGUAAAUCUUUGUAGCUUGUCUGUUCUUGGCAUGUAUAUCAUAUAUCUUGUGUACAUAUAUAAGUAAUGAAACGAAUGGAAUGACAAAAAACGGUUCACAUAUUUUUAUUGUUUGUUGUCUUUGUUGCUUAAUAUACGCUAAUUAGGAAUAAAAUAAUAAGAAAUAGAAGCAGACAUUGGUGGAGGGCUAAAACAUCAAUCAUAGGAGGGAUUUUUGCACAAUUUGACAGAUUCUCAGUGGCACGAUUUCAUUGAAUGUUGGACAAAAAUCAAAUAUAAACCAGCCAAUCCACCCUCAUCAUCUGUAAUGCUUCUGGUACAUUUCAUCAGGACAAGGAGCUUAAUUCCUAAACCAUAUCUUGCUGGAUGUCACUUCUGGGGACCAAUGGAAUUGUAACAAGCUUAUCAUUUUUCUCAUUUCCAUCUGAAUGAGAGUGGCCAAGGAAGACUCACAGAACAUUUCACAUGCAUUAAUGGACAACCGGGACUGCCAAAGGUGUGUAGAAUCUUGCCUAAUACUGAAGAAAAAAAUUGAGAUGAGUAUAUACCUCACACACACGCACACAUUAAAUGUAAAGAUCAGUUGUCCAUUCCAGCUUCUACAUUUAGAAAACCUUGAAGGGCUCCAAAACCAGACCUGUGUACAAAAGAGAUGAGUUAUCCAUUAUUAUGAAUCAACCAAAGGUUAAUUAGUUCAUGAUUUUUCUGCUAUAACAGUAUAUAAUCUCCUGAUCUUGUUCAUGGAAAUCAACAUGCAUUUAUAAUUAAGUUGAGACAAUAAAUUGUUGAACUCGAAUUACAGAAUUCUACAAGUAUGUGUAAGAAUUAAAAGCAUGUAUUGAUCUGGGACUGUCGAGUAAUAUGCAGUCUUAAAU
rnacentral:lncRNA from 1 species